rnacentral:rRNA from 1 species
GUGGGGAAUAUUGGACAAUGGGCGCAAGCCUGAUCCAGCCAUGCCGCGUGAGUGAUGAAGGCCUUAGGGUUGUAAAGCUCUUUCAGUGGGGACGAUAAUGACGGUACCCACAGAAGAAGCCCUGGCUAACUUCGUGCCAGCAGCCGCGGUAAUACGAAGGGGGCUAGCGUUGUUCGGAUUUACUGGGCGUAAAGCGCACGUAGGCGGAUCGUUAAGUCGGGGGUGAAAUCCUGGAGCUCAACUCAAGAACUGCCUUCGAUACUGGCGAUCUUGAGUCCGGAAGAGGUGAGUGGAACUCCUAGUGUAGAGGUGGAAUUCGUAGAUAUUAGGAAGAACACCAGUGGCGAAGGCGGCUCACUGGUCCGGUACUGACGCUGAGGUGCGAAAGCGUGGGGAGCAAACAGGAUUAGAUACCCCGGUAGUCC